CUUGAAAAUAAUGCUUCUGAGGUAGACUCUGAAAUCAUCGACACCAAGGUAACAUUUACCAAGCAGUUGUAAAGGAAAAAAUCAUUUAAACGGAAAAUUAAAACACAUUUAAUUUUAGGAAAAAAGUAUACAAAAAACAGUUUUUUACCACCGUUUCAACUAUUGCUUAAACGACACUUUCUGCACUAUUUAGUAUCAUUAAUUACAUUGUACAAUAUCACUAAUAACUUAAGUAUAAUAUAAAUUGAGACAAACAAAAAAAGCAAAAAUAAAACAAAAAUUUCAACUAGAACCAAAAGUAACCAAAUCACGAUUUUCAUAUUCUAAAUUUAGCAGUUUUGCAAAAACAAAAAAAAAACAAACAAACAAAUCCGCAGAAUUGAGUUUUAAAUCUAAUUAUAGAAUUAUAGAUUUUUAUUCUGACUGUCUCAUUGAAACUAAAUUGGUUUCGAAGGUCAGGGUCACUAUCUGGGAUUAUCUGAUAGAUGUAUUUGUAAAUAUUUCCGACGAUGACUAGUCUUUUGAAUAAGUACAGACUGUACGCCGCGUAAGUUUUAGAAGUAUACCGUCUCCGGAACUUCAUUAAAAUAAUUUAAACAUUAACAAACAUUUUAAUCAUUUGUUCUUUCUGAUUCAAAAAUGGCAGUCUGUUGCUUUUGGGAAUUCAAGAUUUCCAGAUUUCCAGAUUUUAUUGUAAAGCAAAGCUCAGAGACAUAUAUGUGUAACAUGCGGUAAUAAUAAACAUGAUUUAUAAUACAGAGGUAACACUAAAAAAAUAAAUAAAAAAAAACAAUCCAUGGGAAGACUAUUAAUCCCUCAUACUGUGUUUUAUGUUUUCGUCUACUUUGAAAGGCUGUGUAGGAGAGGGCCUUUCCCUCUGAAAAUCUUCCCGUCUCCAAUUAAUAUAUCUGUUUCCGACAUCAAUAUGCGAAAAACAAGUAGAACAUUGACCUUGCUGAUGAUUUAUUCAUAAACCUACCGAAUAAUCUGUUAUUCUAUCAUAUAAAUAUCUUAACAUGUUUUUGCAGUUUAUUUCAAUUAAUUCUUUCAGUUUUUUAAUCAAACGAGCGCCUUAUCCAUGUAUUCAUUUCGAAGAUCCAUCAUAACUGUCUCAUCCGUGCACUUGAUGAAUUAUAUUAGUACCUUACAAAACCAACCAUUAUGUUAAAACGACGAUUUAACGUGCAAUAAUGGGGGAAAACCGUUUUAAUCUAAAUUAUGAAAAAAAAAAAAAAAUUCAACAUUCACCAACAUUUUACACCUGCAUUUUCAUGACAUUCCUAAUUGGAACUAAAAAUGAAUAUUAAUAUCAUUAAUCAUUGUACAGUAUUUAUAAAACUUUGUAAAGACUGGCUGUAUAGAUUGACACUUGUCUAUACAUUGCAAAGACCGAAUUUAAAUCCUCACAAACUACGAAUAAUAUGUGGGUUUAUUUUACAGAUUAUAAAAUAUCAACAAUGAACAUUUGCCUUCAACAACUUGCAAUGGAAGUUGUGAUUAGAUGUUGUUAUUCAUUAGGAACCAGUUUGGUGAUACAAAAAUAUCUGAAUGAGUUUCCUACUCCACUUUUACGAAAAUGUCAGGAUAACUUGACUGUCAUUUUAUGGGAUGGUUUUAGUGACGAUCUAUGUGUUAAUUCACUCGAGAUCUUCCUCGUGGUGACGAGGGUCAUCGACCUCAGAGAUCCUCAAAAUAUCCUGUAUACAAGACAACAUUGAGACAGUCAUUUACUUGACUCAUAAGAAUUAUGAAAUUUGGACGUUAUUCAUGACACCGACAAUAGAUUAAGAUAAAAAGAAAAACGCAUAGAGUUUACAGACAAGCAACAUUAGUCUAUAUUAGUCUCGUAUAAAAGAAAUGAUCUAGCCAAAAACCAGUAACAGUUCGAUUUAACUCCCAAUUCCUUGAACUGGAAGUUUUAAAAUGUAUUGGUUUGGCGAAGGCUUGAUACAUUGCAUAAACGUUGAGAUCACUAAGGGUACUAGUGUGUGCUACUUUUGCAGUUGGAAGAUCAAAACAAUUGAUCAACAGACGGAUAGAUAAAGUUGGUCACAGGGCUUUAUGUCUGCAACUAUGGUGGAAGUUAAAAAGAAAGUGUUCUAUGUAUGAGAUCUUAUACUCAUGUGUUUAACAUCAAAUAGUGUGUAAGCUAAUCAGCAUAGUUCUUUGUUAAAA
rnacentral:lncRNA from 1 species